rnacentral:antisense_RNA from 2 species
GUGGGAGGGGGCUUGCUCCCGAUGGCGGUGAGUCAGUCAAAGUACUCGUGACUGAUACACCGCCAUCGGGAGCAAGCCCCCUCCCAC